rnacentral:lncRNA from 1 species
AUGCUCUUGGUGCUGUACCUGGGGGUCUGUGGGGGUGCAGGGCUGGGGAUUGCAGUGCCCCGGUGCUGUGCUGCUGGACCCCGGUGCUGCGCCACCCCCCGGGGUUACAACUGCUCCCCGUGGAGCUGUGGGAAAGGCUUUAUCAGCACAGGGCAGAGAGCAAGGGCUGGGCGGCCUUGGCACAUGCCCCAGUCAGCAGCGGGGAAGGGGCAAGGGAUUUCCCUGCUGUCCUUGGAGCGGCCCGGCCCCUGCCCUUGGCCCCGUGUUUACAGCUUGUUUUGGGGUGGCGCGGACACUCCCGGGGCUGCAGAGGGACCGGCAGCUGGCGAGCCCCAGCUCCCUUUGUGGGCUUCAUGGCAGCUGUGGGGUGAGGGAGCCCCGUGCCCCUGGCCACCCCCUGUGUGGUGGGCGCUGCGAGGCGCUCCUGCUAUUGGGGGCAGGCGGUGGUGGUGGCGGUCACCCCAUCAGUGCUGGCACCAGCACGCCCCAGGGACUCUGCAUGCAGAGAUCUUUGUCCCAUGGGCACAGCGGGAUGGGCACAGCACUGGGAUCCUGCAUCCCACCAGCAUCCCGCAUCCCACCAGGUGCUGGGGGCCCCCAUGGCUGUGCCAUCGUGGUGACGGUGCCCGUCUGACCCUUCAGAGCCCCCCCCCAGGUGGUAAUUGCUCCAGCAGCCCCAACUUGGUAUUUGCCCCGACGCCUCCCUGCAAACCUGCUGCAGCCGGUCCCAGCCCCGCCUGCCUGCCCUUCCUCACUGGGAGGAGGAGGAGGAGGAGACGGCGGCUGAGGGCCAGGUCUGGAAGGAGCAAGGAGCGUGCGUGGGAGCCGGGCGAGCGCGGGGCUGCGGCACAGCGGGACGGGACGGGACAGGACGGGACGGGACGGGACGGGAGGGCUCAGCUCUCCCCGCCACCAGGUACCGCCUGGGGUGGGCAGCAGCAGCCCCAGUCCGGGGGUUUUGCUCCGUGCACUUUGAUCCAGCACCGGCCCCACGUGUCUGUCUGCUCAGCCAGCUCGGCCAGCCACGGAGGGACCCAGGAGCUGUCACCUGCUGCCAGCUCCUGCCUGCGAGCAGGGCACUGGGGGUGCUGCGGCCACCUCGGGGACCCGGCUGCUGUCCCCAGGGGCGCCGUGGCCAUGAGGAGAGCGCAAGCGUGCUGCACUCCUCCUUCAUGUCGGGGAAGCUGAAGAAGAGCAGGAAGGCGGCGCUGGGGGAGAAGCAGUGGCAGAGCCUGGAGGAGAGGGGCAGCGCGGGCACCCAGCCGGGGUCGCACCCUGCACUCACCAGGUGGGUGCUGCUCGUGUCUGCGUGUCCCCAUGUCCCGGGGACACCAGGGGACUCAGCUCACCCUGCCUGCUGCUCCCUGCCAGGUCCAAAACCUACGACCCUUCCUGUAAGGAGACAGAGGAGGCUGAAGGGGCUGGAGGCCGG